rnacentral:lncRNA from 1 species
AUGGAAACUACUGCCAAAUGUAUCUCAAUGGGUCCUGCACACAGUAGAAAGAGGCUAUCGCAUUCAGUUCGGCCAUCCACUGCCAACAUUCUAUGGGGCUACACCGACAGUAGUCGGCCCCCAGCAGGCUCUGGUGAUGGAACAAGAAGUGAAUACCCUAUUAAUGAAGGAGGCCAUCGAAGUGGUCCCUCCUCUAGACAGGGAGUCCGGGUUUUACAGCCGGUAUUUCAUAGUUCCAAAGAGGGUUGGGGGGUUGCGUCCGAUCUUACACUUACGUCAUCUAAACCUCUCAGUAAUGUCAAUGAAGUUCUAAAUGCUCGCUGUCAAACAAGUUUUAGUUCAAAUCAUAUCCGAGGACUGGUUUGUCACAAUAGAUCUCAAAGACACAUACUUCCAUAUAUCCAUCCUUCCACAACACAGGAAGUUUCUGAGGUUCACUUUCGGGGGCAAAGCCUACCAAUAUCGAGUACUUCCCUUCGGCCUUGCACUCUCACCCCGCACGUUCACGAAAUGUGUAGAUGCGGCUCUGGUUACCCUCCGUGUGCAGGGCAUCCGCAUUCUAAACUUUAUCGACGAUUGGUUGAUUUUAGCUCAAUCAGAGCAAAUGGCGGUUCGACAUCGAGAUGUUGGUCUCGCACAUAUGGGGGAGCUGGGUUUGAGACUGAACGCCAAGAAGAGUGUACUUUCUCCAGUUCAGAGAACCACCUAUCUAGGCGUAGUCUGGGAUUCGACCACGAUGCAGGCACGUUUGUCUCCUGCUCGGAUCGAGUCAAUCCUUACCUCAGUCAAGAGAGUCAGAGAAGGCCAGUCACUCAAUGUCAAGCAGUUUCAGAGACUGUUAGGGCUUAUGGCAGCUGUGUCCAACGUGAUACUUUUUGGCCUCCUGCACAUGAGACCCCUACAGUGGUGGCUCAAGACCAAGGGAUUUUCCCCGAGGGGGAAUCCAUUAUGAACUAUCAAGGUCUACCUUCGUGCCUUAGACAUAUGGAAGAAACCUUGGUUCUUGAAUCAGGGCCCCUGAGUGGGAUUGACCAAGGUUGUUGA